rnacentral:rRNA from 1 species
UGAGUACCGAAAGACAGGUGAGAAUCCUGUCCACCGAUUGACUAAGGUUUCCUGGGGAUGGCUCGUCCGCCCAGGGUUAGUCGGGACCUAAGCCGAGGCAGACAGGCGUAGGCGAUGGAUAACAGGUUGAUAUUCCUGUACCCGUUGUUUUUGUUUGAGCAAUGAAGGGACGCAGGAGGCUAAGGAAUGCAGACGAUCGGAAAUGUCUGUCCAAGCACUAAGACUGAAGAGGAGUCAACAUCUUCUAUACUUAAGGAAAACCUGUCAUG